CCUACGGGAGGCAGCAGUAGGGAAUUUUCGUCAAUGGGCGCAAGCCUGAACGAGCGAUGCCGCGUGAGUGAAGAAGGCCUUCGGGUCGUAAAGCUCUGUUGCGGGGGAAAAAAGGCAGCAUCAGGAAAUGGGUGCUGACUGAUGGUGCCCCGCCAGAAAGUCACGGCUAACUACGUGCCAGCAGCCGCGGUAAUACGUAGGUGGCGAGCGUUAUCCGGAAUGAUUGGGCGUAAAGGGUGCGCAGGCGGUCCUGCAAGUCUGGAGUGAAACGCAUGAGCUCAAACCAUGCAUGGCUUUGGAAACGGGAAGAUUGGAGGGCAGGAGAGGGCGGGGGAACUGCAUGUGUAGCGGGAAAAUGCGGUGAUAUAUGGAAGAACCCCAGUGGCGGAGGCGGCCGCCUGGCCUGUUGCUGACGGUGAGGCAAGAAAGGGUGGGGAGCAAAUAGGAUUAGAUACCCUAGUAGUC
rnacentral:rRNA from 1 species